rnacentral:snRNA from 1 species
UUUAUUGCACAGUGGCAAUUCUGUAGCCAGUGGGGUUUCUCCAAGGUGCAAUUACUGUUAAUUGAAAACUUUUCACCUGCCUCUGACACCCAGAUUAGUUUGUCAGUUUUUUUUUUGAAAUUUACAUAAAU